CUUGCUUAGGAACUUAUCAGGCUGAAAUCUGCCAGCUCCUCUCUUGGUAUCAGAGUCCAUAAAGGCGAUAAGGCUUCCUUGUAAAACUUUGCCCUGAGCUUAUAAACCAUUAUCAGCCUGUGCUUGCAUUACGUGUCAGCCGACGGUUUCCUCGCUUUGCAGGCUGUGUACGCGGGGGAAUAUAAGCUUCGUGACAGCAGCCAAUCACUAGCAUAUUGAUCAUGCCAGAUGAGGAGACUUAUCUGGCCUGGAGGCAGUCUAACAUCAACUGCUAAGCAAUGAAAAAGAAACAUUUCCUGCUCUUGACUGACACUCUCCCUGGAUUUCAACAAAAGCACAUGAGACUGGAGCCUUCUCUCUACACCAGAGUGACACAGGCAUGUCAGCAACGCAACACCUGAGGCUUCAGCAUUCAACGAGGCGCGGGACGCGGAAAAGAAGAGGGAAGACCUGUAGUGUGUAUCAGGUGUAACAGCAACUCCAUGUGGACUGAUUAGGAUUCCAGUGGAGAUGCUGUUACUUUUGAUGGGCACUUGCUGACCAGCCAGGAAGAGGAUUCAGA